AUUUAAUAUUAGAUUUUAGGUGUGAUCUUAUAAUUACUUAAAAGAGAAAGUGGUGAAAAUCCACUACAGCCCCCGCUACUGUAAUAGUGGACGAUUCCUAUUAUCCACCAGUUAACUGGGAAGGAAGGAUAAGGAAGAAACUAAAGUCAGGAGAACUGCCUAAAAUAUAUUACUUCGG
rnacentral:ncRNA from 16 species